GCAUAUGGAAAUUAUGAGCUUGAGAGAGAGAGGUGCAAUACUUACAAAUUGACAAAUUUUACGUUUUAUCAAUUUGUAUAUAUACAUAUGGAAAUUAUUAACACGUUAUACUAACAUAUUGUAGGUGUCAGAUGCAUCUAGUGGGCAACAAACUUCAAAAGAAAAUGAAUAGGUUCGAUCUUUCUUUGUCUCGCAAAGAGAUUCAUUAUGGUGCUCAUGCCACAUCAGAGCAGGUGCAAUGUGGUGAUGUGGAACUUGAAAAGAAAAUUGAUGAGAAGAUUGGCCAGUUCUGGAUUGUAUUUUUUUCAUAAAAGAACUUUUCUCAAGUUUUUAGUUGUAAUAACUUUCACAUAUGGCUCAAAUUUUGAGACUCAAAUGGAAUGUUCAAUUAAAUUAUAAUGCUA